rnacentral:rRNA from 1 species
UGGGGAAUUUUGGACAAUGGGCGAAAGCCUGAUCCAGCAAUGCCGCGUGUGUGAAGAAGGCCUUCGGGUUGUAAAGCACUUUUGUCCGGAAAGAAAUCCUUGGCUCUAAUACAGUCGGGGGAUGACGGUACCGGAAGAAUAAGCACCGGCUAACUACGUGCCAGCAGCCGCGGUAAUACGUAGGGUGCAAGCGUUAAUCGGAAUUACUGGGCGUAAAGCGUGCGCAGGCGGUUUGCUAAGACCGAUGUGAAAUCCCCGGGCUCAACCUGGGAACUGCAUUGGUGACUGGCAGGCCAGAGUAUGGCAGAGGGGGGUAGAAUUCCACGUGUAGCAGUGAAAUGCGUAGAGAUGUGGAGGAAUACCGAUGGCGAAGGCAGCCCCCUGGGCCAAUACUGACGCUCAUGCACGAAAGCGUGGGGAGCAAACAGGAUUAGAUACCCUGGUAGUCCACGCCCUAAACGAUGUCAACUAGUUGUUGGGGACUUCAUUUUCCUUAGUAACGUAGCUAACGCGUGAAGUUGACCGCCUGGGGAGCACGGUCGCAAGAUU